ensembl:misc_RNA Y_RNA Y RNA
GGCCGGUCCGAGUACAGUGGUGUUUACAACUAAUUGAUCACAACCAGUUACAGAUUUCCUUGUUGCUUCUUCAUUCCCACUGCUUCACUUGACUAGCCUUUA